rnacentral:rRNA from 1 species
UGCGUAAAAGCCCCGGAACCAGGCGCCCGCCGGAGGAACCAACCAAACUCUUUCUGUAGUCCCCUCGCGGACGUAUUUCUUACAGCUCUGAGCAAAAAUUCAAAAUGAAUCAAAACUUUCAACAACGGAUCUCUUGGUUCUGGCAUCGAUGAAGAACGCAGCGAAAUGCGAUAAGUAAUGUGAAUUGCAGAAUUCAGUGAAUCAUCGAAUCUUUGAACGCACAUUGCGCCCGCCAGUAUUCUGGCGGGCAUGCCUGUCCGAGCGUCAUUUCAACCCUCGAACCCCUCCGGGGGAUCGGCGUUGGGGAUCGGGACCCCUCACCGGGUGCCGGCCCUGAAAUACAGUGGCGGUCUCGCCGCAGCCUCUCCUGCGCAGUAGUUUGCACAACUCGCACCGGGAGCGCGGCGCGUCCACGUCCGUAAAACACCCAACUUCUGAAAUGUUGACCUCGGAUCAGGUAGGAAUACCCGCUGAACUUAAGCAUAUCAAAAACGGCGAGAGGAAA